CUUUGAUCCGGCGCCCUGCAGGCACCGGCUCAUCGCAGGGCCCGGGAGCAGGGUUUCUGAGUCCCCCCUGCCUAUCCCCGGCGCACUGGGACCCUUGCAGAGAAGAAGGGGGCUGCAGGCGGCCCUCAGGGCCUCACCUCGCCUGGCGAAAUUCCCCGGGGCCGCCCUGGACGGGACGCAGGCAUGUGGGACCUUAACUCCCCAACCAGGGGUGGAAUCCACACUGCUGCAUUGGAAGGUGAGACCUAACCACUGGGCCACCAGAGAAACCCCUGGAUCACCCAUUAUGUAAUACACACCUUUUAAAGAAAAUUCUUAACAGCCUUGUGAUACAGAAGAGUUUCUUCCAUGAAGAAGGAACUCAGAAAAAAAAAAAAAAGGAACUCAGAGAAGUCCUGAUACAUCCUAUGUUACCCUGGCUUAUUAAGGGCCGAGCAGCAGUUUUAACAGGACAACAGUAGUGUGACCCUGAAGCCCUGGUCCCUCCUCCUUCCUCAGGCAAUAGGAGGCACCGUAACUCACAUCUGUGGUGGGGUUUUAGAAAGGAAGAGUGGCUUUUUUCUGCUUAAGGCAUUUUGUCUUCAGGAGAUUGCAGUUAAAAUGCAAAUAGACCACCUGGAGAAGUAGCCCAAGCCACAGACAAUUCCUAUCAGUCUGCUGUAGCUCUGAAGUUUGUCCUGUGUCCUUUUGCAGAACAGCUCUUCUACUUCAGGCUCUCAUCCCUCCCCAGACUGCUUGGAAGUUUCUGUCUUUUCUCAGAUCCAAGAGCUUCGGCAUUUGUCUCAGAGGCGGCAACUUGACACAGAGUGGGUAUGGUUGAUGCUCAGGUUGGCUUGUUGAGAAAGUUGUCUUGGCGUGAGGGUCUCCCAUCUGGGUGGGAGAGCACUCAGCAUGGCCGCUCUGAGCCUGUGAUCAUGGCGCCCCUGCGUCAGUGUUUCUGACUGGGAGGAGAUAGAGUGUGGAGCCUGUCACGUGCAGCCGAGUCCAAGCUCGUUCUACUUGCACAACAAGCCAAUAAUUCAACAAGUCAAGAGCUGAGUUAUUGGGGCAAGAAAUAGGAAUUUUAUCCAGAAAACCUGCAGGCCCCGAAGAUGGUGGAUUAGAGUCCCAAAGACCCAUCCUCUGCGAGUUGGAAAUCAGGUUUCUUUUAUACUAAAAGGGGAGAUGGUAAAGCCCUGGUUCUGGAGGGCCUCCCGAGAGGAUGCGUUAAAUGUGUUAAAUUUCUUCCUGCAGCAGUUCACUGGUGGGUCUGGUCAAGAUGUGUCCUGGGAGCUAAACAAAGUUAUUUUUAGCUUACUGCUCAUUACCUGGGAGGAAGGGUUCCAGAGAAGUGCUAUUAUAAUUUAAGCUUAUAGGCAACAUCCCUUUAGUGAUUAACUUGUAAUAUAAUAGAAUACAAAGCUUCUUCCUUAUUGUUUUACUUGGUUAACUGACUCAAACCCUCUGUUCUUCAGGUUCCUCUUUGGCGAGUAAGAUGGUUGUAUUUACUGCAUAUAAUUGUGAGGACUAGGUGAGUGGGGCUCCAUUCAUUCCUUUAGGAUUUACAUCCCAAACCCCAUGCAACCCCUCAAAUAAAUCUGGGUGCUCCCAAUGGGCAAAUUAGCUCCCACUGGGUCAAAAAGCCCAUAUUAUUUAAGCCAAGCAGAACUGUAAUUGGAAUUUGUGUUGCAACCAGCAUCCUUAGCUCCAGAGGUCCCUUUCCUGGGAGGCUGACAGCACAGAUAAGUUCUUCCUCUAGGGCUUUUGUGAGCCUGAAAGGUUAAUCUCCUGAAACCUCUAGCAAGUAGAAGGAAGGGUUUGAAGGAGGAUUUCUUUUCCCCACUUAGGCCCUGUUUCCAAUUCAUCCAAACCUACAGUGCAGAAGCACUGGAUUCUACCACGAACCAGAAUCUUUUGAGCUUCCCAGAGGGCCCUGACUGAUGGGAAGUGUUGACGAUAGUCUCCUGCACAGAGAUCUUGUUACAUGAAAACUAGGUUCGCCUCCUGAUGGAUGUUGAGCCAAUAGAUACAACCAAGCCAAAGAUCAAGAGAAGGAUGUGUUAUUACUUGAGUCAAAGGUGAACACAAGGGAUCUUUCCCAAAGUGGUGUCUCCCAGAGCAGCAAAACUGGUACAUGCAUAUUAAUGAAGGGGCUUGAGCCCAGGUAAAUUAGUGUAGAAUCAGAGCAAAGCUGACAGAGUCCAGGUCUUAGCAGAUUGAAGUCAGGAGGAGGAUCAACAUUACCAUUCCACCCCUACUUAGUGGAGGCCUUAGUUCCUGUAGAACUCAAAGAUUUAUUAUUGUGCAUUGCUUAUUAUUCAUAUACUAUAUCACUAUGUAUACUUACUGAUUAUAGUUAACACAUUGUAUUGUUAUGUGUCCUUUGAGGAGGAACUAGGACUCUGCUUUACCUUGCACUGUUGUUUGACUGCCAUUUCUCUGUUCCUGGAUUCCUUUUUUGCCCUUAGAAGUAAUUAUUGAGACCUGUUCAAAAGCAAGCAUUGUGGCCAGGCUUAGAUCACAAAAUGACUUAGACCAAAAUGGGUUCUCUUAUGUCAGAAAGGCCAUUCCUGUUUCUCUUUCUCCAGGAGCCCCUAACGUAUCUACUUACGACCUGCCUUCUCAACACUUGAAGAAUAUACACUUCACAUUUGUACACUUCAUCAUUAUGACAUGAUCCUCUACAUAGAAAGCCCUAAAGACUCUAC